UCCCAAGCGUAAAACCACCGAAGCAGCGUCGCCGCUCUGAGCUUUAGGUUUUAGGGUUAGGGUUUUUCAUUUCCGCUCUCCUCCGGCUAUGGAUCCCAACUUGAAGAAGCGCAAGUCCGACGAGAACGGCGCCGUCGUGGCCUCUCCGGCGAGUCUGAUGCCCGAGGACGCCCGCAAGGUCGUGGAGCCCUUCACACGCGAGCAACUCCUCGACAUCGUCCAGGAUGCCAUGUGCCGUGACGCCGGCGUCCUCGACGCCGUCCGGGCCAUCGCCGACAGGGACCCAGCCCAGCGCAAGCUCUUCAUCCGAGGCCUCGGUUGGGAGACCACCACCGAGGCUCUCCGCAACCUCUUCUCCUCGUACGGCGAGCUCGAGGAGGCCGUCGUCAUCGUUGACAAGGCCACGGGAAAGAGCAAGGGCUACGGCUUCAUCACCUUCCGCCACAUUGAUGGCGCUCUCCUUGCCCUCAAGGAACCCUCCAAGAAGAUCGACGGCCGCAUGACCGUCACCCAGCUCGCCGCCGCCGGCACCGCCGGCCCCACCGCCGCCGCCCCUCCUGCCGUCGACGUCUCCCUGCGCAAGAUCUAUGUCGGAAACGUCCCCGCUGACAUGCCCUCCGACCGCCUCCUCGCCCACUUCUCCUCCUACGGGGAGAUUGAGGAGGGGCCUCUGGGGUUUGACAAGCAGACGGGCAAGUUCCGGGGGUUCGCCCUCUUUGUCUACAAGACAGCCGAGGGAGCUCGGGCGUCGCUUGUCGACGCCACCAAGGACAUCGAUGGGCACCAUCUGGUGUGCAAACUUGCGAUUGACGGGAAGAAGGGGAAGGCGGGGGCUCCAGCCGCCGGUGGUGCUGCUCCGGUGGGUGGAGUCCAUGGCCAGCCAAUGGGAGGCGGGGUUGAUGUCGGUGGGGAUGGGCUCGGAAUGGGUCACCAGUCCUCUUUGCCAGGUUCUCUGUCGAGUCAAUACGGAGGACCAGGCAGUGGGAUCUCUUCUUUUGGGGGUUACUCUGGCGGUGGGAUACCAGGUGCUGCUGGUCUGGGUCAACAUCAUCACCCGAACUCAUCCUUGCCAUCAUCGAUUGGAGCGGGCACUCCCGGUCUCUCAUCGGUUGGAAGCCAGGUGCCUUCGGCUCUAGCUGGUGCUGGUGCUGGAGCUGGAGCUGGAGCUGGAGGUUAUGGAGGGGGUUUUGGGGGUCCUUAUGGGUCUUCCUCGCAGUAUGGUGGUCCUGGUUAUGGUGGUUUUGGCGGAGGAUCAUCUUUGUACCGCAUGCCACCAAGCUCUGUUGGGAUGCCUUCUGGGGGUUAUCCUGAGAGCGGGCAUUACCCGCUGUCAUCAUCUGCUUACCAGAGCCAACACCACCCACCGACUGGUUCAUCUCCUGGACCUAGGGUUCCGAGUGGAGGGGGGCUUUACCAGAACAUAAACCCUUUCUACUAGGGGGAAGGAAGGAGUUCUUCUAAUUUUGGUAAUCCGAGUUGAAAUGGAAAACAAUCCAUUAUGACAGGUUUGUGGAGCCUGCCGCAAGAACGGAAAGUUCGGACAAGUUUUAUUUCAUGCGUCGUCAUAAACUGCGAUUAUUUGGCAAAACUCUAUUGGUGUCCGGUAAUUGCACGUAUGAUGGAAGAUAAAUGGUUCGGUCAAUUGCUUUACAGGCCCAGGAGGGGCAAGCAUGUUCAUUAGGACGGGAUCCAGCCUUGUAGGGUGGUAUGAGUUUGAAGUGGGGUUGGAUGGAAAUCACGGGAAUGGCAAGUCGGAAUAACUUAUGCGGAUCGGCCAAAUUAUUUUUUUAGAGCCAUGGUGUGCGUAUGAUAAAAAUGCUGCAAUAUUCUCUGAAAUAUAAAAUAAUGCAGGUAAAGCUGCGGGAGCUUGCAUAAACGGUAUAUGGUGCAUUGGGUUACGACACUAUUUACUUGCAUGUAAUCUGAGUCACGCUCCUUCCCCCAUAAUGCUUGGCAUUUGCGUCAAAUAGAUUCAGCGUUCACUUUAAGAGGCAGGUGUGGCUAUUAUCUAACGUCCUUUCAACUGUGAAUUAUCGUACGUCAAGUCAGACCCAUGCUAAUCGGUGCUGCCAUUGCUUUUAUUGAAUAGUCCAAAGGGGGUUGGUACUUACAUUAUCAGGGAAAGAAUAUCCCUCCGCCAUUUGUUGCCAAAUAAUCCCGUGGUGUUGUAUGGUGUCUAUGUUGAUGAAAUGCACGGUUCAUGCAUUUCAUCGGAUCUGGUCCAACGUUCAAGAGAAGUGUGAGCAUCCAUGUUUAAUCCCACAUGUAAUUAAAAAAUCUAAAUAAUAUCUUUCUAUUAUUUGUUUAGGUGAGAUUUUACAUAGUUAUAAAUACUAUUAGAGCGGACUGGCUCAUAGUGUAUGUAGACUAGAAAGUAUUGAUUGUGGUGCUUGUGCGUGAAUUGAAUAA